UACGAAGGGGGCUAGCGUUGUUCGGAAUUACUGGGCGUAAAGCGCACGUAGGCGGAUACUUAAGUCAGGGGGGAAAUCCCGGGGCUCAACCCCGGAACUGCCUUUGAUACUGGGUAUCUCGAGUCCGGAAGAGGUGAGUGGAAUUCCGAGUGUAGAGGUGAAAUUCGUAGAUAUUCGGAGGAACACCAGUGGCGAAGGCGGCUCACUGGUCCGGUACUGACGCUGAGGUGCGAAAGCGUGGGGAGCAAACAGG
rnacentral:rRNA from 1 species